rnacentral:rRNA from 1 species
CAGUCGCCGCGGUAAUACGGAGGAUCCAAGCGUUAUCCGGAAUCAUUGGGUUUAAAGGGUCCGUAGGCGGUCUUGUAAGUCAGUGGUGAAAGCCCAUCGCUCAACGGUGGAACGGCCAUUGAUACUGCAGGACUUGAAUUAUUGGGAAGUAACUAGAAUAUGUAGUGUAGCGGUGAAAUGCUUAGAGAUUACAUGGAAUACCAAUUGCGAAGGCAGGUUACUACCAAUUGAUUGACGCUGAUGGACGAAAGCGUGGGUAGCGAACAGGAUUAGAUACCCGCUAGUCCCUGUCUCUUAUACA